AUGCUGUGGCGGCGUCUGUCUCUUCGGAUUCGUUGGCAAAACCAGUUGAUGCCCCUACCCUCCCGUGUGCUGCGGUUGAGAUGCUGGCGGCGCCUGUUGUUCUGGCCUUGUGUGAUGUUAUGGUUCCUGAUUAUUCUCCUGAUGGUGCCUCUGCUGAUUUGGCUGCUGAGUUGAGGGAGGAUUCGGUUUUGGCAGUGAGUUGUGUUGUCAGUGCUUCUUCUGCUAGAUGGAAUUUGAAGCCGCCUGUUUUUAGAGUCUACUCCAGGAGGUUGAGACCUUCUAUUUUGGAUGAUCAGGAUGGCCCGUUGGUUCAGUCGGGUCUUGAUAAUUCUAUGGUGAUUUCUUCGCCCUUGUGCGAGUUCCAGUGUUUGGUCACUAAACCAGUGGAUGCCUUGCUGCCAACUCCACAGAUUCCAAAGAGAAGGAAGAAGCCUCUACCUAGUAAUUUUAUACCAAGGCGGAGCAGGAGGGUGGCCAAAUU
rnacentral:misc_RNA from 1 species